CGCUCGGUAACAUAUUGAAAUCGGGCUCAUAACCCGGAGGUCGCAGGUUCGAGUCCUGCCCCUGCUA
rnacentral:tRNA from 1 species